rnacentral:rRNA from 1 species
ACGUAGGAGGCAAGCGUUAUCCGGAGUUACUGGGCGUAAAGCGUGCGUAGGCGGAUCUGUAAGUGGGUGGUGAAAGCGCCCGGCUAAACCGGGCGAGGUCCAUUCAGACUGCAGGUCUAGAGGCGGAUAGAGGGGGGCGGAAUUCCGGGUGUAGCGGUGAAAUGUGUAGAGAUCCGGAGGAACACCGACGGCGAAGGCAGCGCCC